rnacentral:rRNA from 1 species
GCUUGUUGGUGGGGUAAUGGCCUACCAAGGCGACGAUCUCUAGCUGGUCUGAGAGGAUGAUCAGCCACACCGGAACUGAGACACGGUCCGGACUCCUACGGGAGGCAGCAGUGGGGAAUAUUGGACAAUGGGCGCAAGCCUGAUCCAGCCAUGCCGCGUGUGUGAUGAAGGCCCUAGGGUUGUAAAGCUCUUUCACCGGUGAAGAUAAUGACGGUAACCGUAGAAGAAGCCCCGGCUAACUUCGUGCCAGCAGCCGCGGUAAUACGAAGGGGGCUAGCGUUGUUCGGAAUUACUGGGCGUAAAGCGCACGUAGGCGGAUCGUUAAGUGAGGGGUGAAAUCCCAGGGCUCAACCCUGGAACUGCCUUUCAUACUGGCGAUCUUGAGUUCGAGAGAGGUGAGUGGAAUUCCGAGUG